rnacentral:rRNA from 1 species
CAAUAGCGUAUAUUAAAGUUGUUGCAGUUAAAAAGCUCGUAGUUGGAUUUCUGGUCGGAAGCUCCUGUCCUCUGAUGAGCGUACAAGUGCGUCCUACCAUCCUUCUGUUAACCUUUAAGGCUUUCGCGGCUUUCUAGGGGCUCAGAUAUUUUACCUUGAGAAAAUUAGAGUGUUUCAGGCAGGCUAGCGCCGGAAUACAUUAGCAUGGAAUAAUGGAAUAGGACUUUUGCCUCUUCUGUUGGUCAUGAGGCUCGAGUAAUGAUUAAUAGGGAUAGUUGGGGGCAUUAGUACUUAACUGUCAGAGGUGAAAUUCUCGGAUUUGUCAAAGACUAACUUAUGCGAAAGCAUUUGCCAAGGAUGUUUUCAUUAA